rnacentral:rRNA from 1 species
GUGGGGAAUAUUGGACAAUGGGCGAAAGCCUGAUCCAGCAAUGCCGCGUGAGUGAUGAAGGCCUUAGGGUUGUAAAGCUCUUUUACCCGGGAUGAUAAUGACAGUACCGGGAGAAUAAGCCCCGGCUAACUCCGUGCCAGCAGCCGCGGUAAUACGGAGGGGGCUAGCGUUGUUCGGAAUUACUGGGCGUAAAGCGUACGUAGGCGGCUUUGUAAGUUAGAGGUGAAAGCCCGGAGCUCAACUCCGGAACUGCCUUUAAGACUGCAUCGCUAGAACGUCGGAGAGGUGAGUGGAAUUCCGAGUGUAGAGGUGAAAUUCGUAGAUAUUCGGAAGAACACCAGUGGCGAAGGCGACUCACUGGACGACUGUUGACGCUGAGGUACGAAAGCGUGGGGAGCAAACAGGAUUAGAAACCCUAGUAGUCC